rnacentral:tRNA from 1 species
AGGGAUAUGGCUCAGUGGUAGAGUGCUUGCCUAUCAUGAACAAGGCCCAGGGUUCAAUCCCCAGUACCCCAA